UAGCAGCUGUGUUGUUCAUGUGGCAGGUACUUUGUGUAGUUGUGCUUUCGAUCAUAUCCUGGGAGAUUUUCUAUGUAAUGUGUUACUAAGACACACGACUGGCGACUUUUAUUUAGUGAUUAGAAAAUAAAUGCAAGGAUCCGGAGAUGAGUGGCAAGUUGCAACUGCUGGGAUACUCGAUCGCAUCUUCAAAUAAUUUCAGAAGAAGAGACGCGAGGAGUUGGGCGCGCACCAUGUGAAUGUCGUCUAGAUUUGGUAAGUUGUAGCACUAAGAUAACAUAGU
rnacentral:lncRNA from 1 species